rnacentral:rRNA from 1 species
CAUAAAGGAGGUGAUCCAAGCACCGGCGUGAGUCGGGUGAAUAUCCCCGACCUGAUGUUGGAGGACUUCCGCGAUUACGACAAGUGGUGGGACCAGAUGGGGGCGGCCCAUGCUUUCUUCGUCGACAACAAAAUAUCUUUCCAGGAAAUGAGCAACCGGAACGAGCUGAUGUCGGAUGGCUGGGCUCUCGCCGGAGAGGGGAUGAUGGUGGCCUAUUUCCCAAAGGGUACCGCGGGAGCGGAUCGAGGAAACUCCGGCGGUGCGGCUUACGGUCCGGCGUUCCCGGGAACAGGACGCGGCGGGCCGGGCCGCGGAGCGGCGGAGCCCCGCGGCCGGGGAGGGCCGAAGCAGGCUCCCGGCGCGAUGGGCGGUGUGGGCGCCAUAGGGCUGACGCCGGGGAGUGAUCGUCAUGGGCAAUCGCCUGUUGCAAGGCCGGGAUCACCGCCCGAGAGUCCAAUGGUCGACUUGCAUGCCUAAUCC